GCUUUUUGUGUCUUUUAGUUUAUUUAGUGUUAGGUACAGGUUGUUACUGUUUAGCUGCGAGGUCGGUUUGGUCAACUUUUUUUCACCAAGUAACAAGUAAGUGUAUAAGCAUAUUUAUAACAUACAACAAUGAAUGAAGUUUCAAGUGAUGAAGAAUUGGAUCCAUCAACAAAACAAACAGAAGCAACUGGACAUAAACAGCGAAAACGUAGAACUGUUAAAUUAGCUGACUCAUCUGAUGACUCAGAAACUGAAGAUGUAACCAACAACCAGACACCCUAUGAACAAAACAUACAAGCUGAAGAAACUGCCCUUGCUGUGAAUACUUCAUUACAAGGUU